UACAUUGCCUUUGACCAUUUAGCUCCCAGA
rnacentral:piRNA from 1 species